AGGCCAGAGAAUUCCCUCUUGGGCGCCAAUAUCUUUUCCUCCAUUCUCCUUUUAUAUCACACGAUCCUUCUCUCACACGCUCUUUUCUAACCCUAUUUUAUGAUCUGAUGUAUCAUCAUGUCUCAUGCUUCUCAUCUUCUUCUUGAAUUCCCACCCAAAUCUAACAUUAAUUUUUCUAUUGCUUUUCUAUUCGUGUUGCCUAAUCCCUGGAGGCUGGAAAUAAACCCUAGAACUGUUUCGGUUGCAUCGCAAGCAAGAAUGAUGGCUUUGGGGUGUGGUAUCGGUGUCUAGGGUUGGCGAAUCGACUUUUCCGGCGAAGUUGGUUAGGGUUCAGGCCGAGAUUCCGGCAACACAGGUAAGACAAUGCCUCGGUUUUGUUUAGAUUGGUGGCAUAUGGCCCUUUUUUGGCUAGAUAUGGUGUUAACACUGGUCUGAAUCAGUGAAGAAACUUAUUGAGAUAGGGUAAAGUUCAUCGAUGAUGGUUGUAGGGGUAAACGUCAAGAACAAUCCAACGAUUGAGACCAAGCGUUUGUUUAAAUGUCUCAAUGAAAGUUUGGAUUGAACAUCAUCAAAAUGCCACCAAAAAAGUGUUAUAGUGAAAAGCUUCGACUCCAAUGGCUUGUCAGAAGGGAAAAGAAAGAUGGGUGAUUUGCAUUACUCUUAUUGGGAACACGGCUCGCCAUUUUAACGUUGUGAUCAAGUGGUCAACAGCCAUCAUUCGUGUUCAAUCAAUAGGUGUUAGGGCUGUGUGGAUGGUUAAAAGUCGCGAAAGGACAACGGUAGUGGGCUGUCAAAACUGGAUAGCAAAUUCACACUUUCAGCCGUGAUUUCGAAACCAAAUUAUGUGGUACAAUGCAACAACGAGUUGGGAUCUUUUGCAGCUGUUUGAGAGGUGUUUGAGGACUGAGAACUAUGUACAAACAACCACAGUAUCAUAGUUAAAGCAGUAGUUCCAGCAUUCUGUCAUGUUCUAUUUCACAGUGAUGGGCGUAGGCGAGGACUCGACAUAGGCAUAGAGACAAGAAGCACGACAGCGGAGUAGUGAUGAUGAAGAUGAUUUGAGGAGGACGUAGGAUUUGCUUCACAAAGUAUUAUCUAUUUGCUUAUUUUGAAAUUGCAAGCCAGGAGGCGAAGAUGGCGUACAAGCACUUCAUCAUGAAGGUACCUUCAACCGGGGAGUGGUGUAUAAUGUCGGGGAUAUUAGUCGGACUUGUGUGGUCCCCCUAUAAAACAGAAAUGGAGAUUGUUUGGUGUAACACCUCGAAAAAUUUCGUCCAAUA